rnacentral:rRNA from 1 species
UACGUAGGGGGCAAGCGUUGUCCGGAUUUAUUGGGCGUAAAGAGCGUGUAGGCGGCCAUACAGGUCAGCUGUGAAAACUCGAGGCUCAACCUCGAGACGUCGGUUGAAACCGUAUGGCUAGAGUCCGGAAGAGGAGAAUGGAAUUCCCGGUGUAGCGGUGAAAUGCGCAGAUAUCGGGAGGAACACCGGUGGCGAAGGCGGUUCUCUGGGCCUGUACUGACGCUGAGGAGCGAAAGCGUGGGGAGCGAACAGG